GAAAUGCAAUAAGUAAUGUGAAUUGCAGAAUUCCGUGAAUAGUCGAAUCUUUGAACGCACAUUGCGCCCGCAGGAGUGCUGGCGGGCAUGCGUGUUCGAGCGUCAUUUCAACCAUCAAGCCCCCGGGCUUGCGUUGGGGACCUGCGGCUGCCAGCAGGCCCUGAAAACCAGUGGCGGGCUCGCUGUCACCCCGGUCGUAGUAGUAUCAUCUCGUCCAGGGCGUGGCUGCGGGCUCCGGCCGUUAAACCUUCUCAAACCCAAAGGUUGACCUCGGAUCAGGUAGGAAUACCCGCUGAACUUAA
rnacentral:misc_RNA from 1 species